GAAUAGCCAAUGCACUCAAUACAAGAGCUAUAGCAGAAAGGAUAUUUUUCCAAGCCUCAAAAGUUUUAACAACACUAUUGCAUUCCUUGCAAUGGAUUACAUGCCGAAAAUACCUGUUAGCCAAAUUGGGUGCGUACAUUGUUCCUGUGCCACCCUUCGCUGGCAAAGAAGCAGAAACUCCAGCGACAAACUCGGCUGGUGCAUGUUCAACAACGGCAGGAACUUGAGGUAGAGAGAUUGUGUUGUGCCCAAAA
rnacentral:misc_RNA from 1 species